AACUUUACAAUGCGGGAAACCGUGAUAAGGGGACACCGAGUGCCAGCAUCCUAUGCUGGCUGUCCGGGUGUGUAAAAUACACCUGUUAGCAAGGGCCGGGCAAGACCGGUGCCAGCCGCCGCGGUAACACCGGCGGCCCGAGUGGUGAUCGUGAUUAUUGGGUCUAAAGGGUCCGUAGCCGGUUUGGUCAGUCCUCCGGGAAAUCUGACAGCUCAACUGUUAGGCUUUCGGAGGAUACUGCCAGACUUGGAACCGGGAGAGGUAAGAGGUACUACAGGGGUAGGAGUGAAAUCUUGUAAUCCCUGUGGGACCACCUGUGGCGAAGGCGUCUUACCAGAACGGGUUCGACGGUGAGGGACGAAAGCUGGGGGCACGAACCGGAUUAGAUACCCGGGUAGUCCCAGCCGUAAACGAUGCUCGCUAGGUGUCAGGCAUGGCGCGACCGUGUCUGGUGCCGCAGGGAAGCCGUGAAGCGAGCCACCUGGGAAGUACGGCCGCAAGGCUGAAACUUAA
rnacentral:rRNA from 1 species